UACUACCUUAUUUACAUUUACUUUACAUUUAUUCCAAAUAAAUCAUUUUCCAAAACAGAAAAUCUUUGCAACAUUCUCCUACCAAGCUGACUCAUCCAUCCGCCACACCUUUCACCAACAACACUGUACAAAUACGUCACACUUUCUCUUUUCUUCAUUCCAAUGAUUCAAUAAUCAACCAAUCAGCACUCACCAUGAUUCCAUCGUUUGUGAGCUUCUCCGGCCUAUACAGCGGCUACCUCCGUCGCUGCUUCACCGGAUCAGGUCUCUUCUCUCAAAAAAUCAACAUCGACAACGAAACAACUCUCCACGUUUGGGGACCAACAAAUCAAUCCACACAUAAACCCUCACUCGUUCUGAUUCACGGAUUCGGUCCUACAGCCAUAUGGCAGUGGCGUAAACAAGUUCAAUUUCUCGCUCCUCAUUUCAAUGUCUACGUUCCCGAUCUAAUCUUCUUCGGCGAAUCAACAACGAGAUCGAAGGAAAGGAGCGAGAAAUUCCAAGCGGAGUCGGUUGGGAAAUUGUUGGAGAAAUUAGGGUUGAAGAAGUGCCACGUGGCGGGGACGAGUUAUGGCGGUAUUGUUGCUUAUAAUUUGGCGAAAAUGUUGGGGGAAGAGAGAAUAGAGAAAGUGGUUAUUUGUAGCUCUGGUGUUAAUAUGACGAAGAAUCAUAACGUCAAGUUGUUGGAAAGAGCUGGAGUGGAGAAAAUUGAGGACCUUAUGUUGCCUACUUCUCCGCAAAAUUUGAGGAAAUUGAUGACACUUGCCGUGGCUAAAAGCAUCUCUUUCAUGCCUGAUUUUCUCUUGAAAGACUUCUUAAAGGUGCAUAUCAUUCCAAUAUCAAAGAACUUUUUGGAAGGAGCAUAUUGUUCCAAUAUCAAAGACCUUUUGAAGGAAUUGUCCGAGUUUCACCCAAAUCAUCAGUGUGACUUCAAGAAGAAAAAAUGCCCCAUAAAUUUUGACUUUGUUGUUUGGAUUAAGUAAGUCUUUUAAUCAAAUUCGAUGUCAAAUUUUGCUCAUGGUUCCAUUACCUUCAAUUAGCCGUGUUUUUUCACUUGUGAUUUAAAAAGAAAAAAAAAAACACACCAUAAAUUGUGUACCUAGUGAUGCUAUUGGCUUCACUUUAGCUCAUGUUGCUAAUGAUGUUAAUUCCAUGCCGAAAUUGGGAAAAAGAUAUUGUCAUGUAUGUUCUCAUUGUGGUAUUCUUUGUCACAUUAAAGAUAAGUGCUAUAAAGUGAAUGGAUAUACUCUGAAUGAUGGGAGAAACUUGUUCUUGAUCUAUCAGUGUGUGGAUUUGAAUAUUUUUGAAAAGAUUAUCGAGCAAGAAACGACCAAGGAGACGUGGGAUACUCUCGAGAAGCUAUAUAGUGGAGAUGAAAAUAUAUAGAAAGUGAAGUUGCAAUUUUUGAUGAAGCAAUAUGAAAACUUGCUGAUGAAACCAUUGCCAAGUUCUUCUCAAAGAUGAUCGAUUUGACAAAUGAGAUGAAGUCACGUGGAGAAAAGACCUCCGAAUUGCAGAAAGUGGAGAAGGUGUUGAGGGCUCUACUAGUCAAGUUUGAUCUCAUUAUGGUGGCAAUUGACGAGUCUAAAGACUUGUCAGAGAUGAAGCUUGAAGAACUGCAAGCAUCUCUUGAGGCGCAUGAGAUGAGGCUGAAGCAAAGUUCUUCAAGAAUAUUAAAGAAAAUUCCCCAAGCAAUAACAAAGUAAAAGCAAAAUGGAAGAGGAAGUUGAAUGAGAAUGUUAAUGCUGGUAAGGCUUCUAGAAGCCAAGGUGAAACUAGCAAGAAUGGUGCAAAUCAAAAUCAAAAUGUCAAGAAGAAGGUUGACAUAAAGGAGGUUCAAUGUUAUUUUGUUAUAAGUUUGGUCAUUAUGCUAGAGAAUGCUAUUACAACAAGAACAAUGAUGAGGACAAGGUUGUGGCUCAUUUUGUUCGUGAGGGUAACAGUGAAUCUGAAGAUGUUAUCUUGAUGGCUGCAACACAUUUAGCUUAGAGAAAGCAGAUAUGUGGUACCUUGAUAAAGGUUGCAGCAAUCAUAUGACAAUCAACAACUGGUUUGUCAAGUUGGAUGAAUCAGUUAGAAGAUCAAUUUUUUUUGUAGACAACAUCAUGAUGACAUCAGAAGGAAUGAGCAACAUCAGGGUGAAAAAAAGGAUGGACAUGAAGCUAUCAUCAACGAUGUCUUAUAUGUUCCUUAAAUGGCAAGUUAUUUGAUCAGCUUAGGUCAAUUAGUUGACAAGAAUUACAUGAUGAAGCUGGAAGGAAGGGAACUCAAGGUGUUUUGAUGAAAUGUUUAAUUCAAUUUUGAGGGCACAUUUGUCAAUCAACAGGACAUUCAAGGUCAUGAUCAAUAUGCUAGAUCAUGAAUGUCUUGCAUCAACCAUAACUGGAGAUAAAAAUUGGGUUUGGCAUCAAAGAUUUGGCCAUCUCAAAUUUAGGAGUCUUAGCUUGAUGCACAAGAAGAAAAUGGUGUAUGGAUUUCCAAGGAUUAAAGUGCCAAAGCAGCUAUGUGAGAAACGUUGCAUAGCUAAUCAGACUAGAAAGCCAUCCAAACAUGACUUGCCAAUGAAGCCACAACGCAAGCUUGAGAUUGUGCACUCAGAUGUGUGUGGUUCAUUUGAAGUAAAUCAUUAGGAGUUAAUUGAUAUUUCUUUACCUUCAUGGAUGAAUUCACUAGGCAUUUGGGGAUUUACUUGUUGGAAAAGAAUAGUGAAGUUUUCAACAAUUUCAAGAAAUUUAAAUUGUUGGCUGAAAAGCAAGUAGGAAACACCAUCAAGAGGUUGAGAACUGAUGGCUCAAUUAGUUUGCUCAGUUUUGUGAGAAGGAAUGAAUUGAGCAUGAAGUGAUGACACCAUACACACCUCAACACAAUGACAUUGCUGAAAGGAAGAAUACAAGCAUCUUGAAUAUGGUUAGGAGUAUGCUUAAAACAAAGCAGGUGCCUAAGCACUUUAAGGGAGAAGCCACUUCAAUUGCAGUGUAUAUCGUCAACAGAUGUCCAAAAAAGAAGUCGAGCAACAAAACUCCUUAUAAAGCCUGAUUAAGAUUGAAUGCAAAUGUUGGUCAUCUCAAAAUCUUUGGCUCGCUAUGCUUUAGACAUGUUCUUGAACUACUUAGAAGAAAGUUGGAUGAUAGAAGCCAAGUUAUGCUCCUAGUUAGAUAUCAUUCACACUAAUGGAGACCAACACCAAGCUAAAAAGGGAAUCUGAAGAAGAACUGGUUGAUAGCACAUUGUAUAAGCAGAUUAUUGGAUCUUUGAGGUAUCUCUACAAUAGAAUCUUGACAUUUGUCAUAGUGUUGGAUUGGUGAGUAGACUCAUGGAAAAACUAGGGUUAUGUCAUCUACUUGCAGCAAAAAGAAUCCUAAGAUACAUCAACGGCACAUAAGAUCAUGGAUUGCUAAUACCUCAUAAAACAACCAGAAUUGGAGCAAGGAUACGUGGUUACUCAGACUUAGACUGGAGUGGUGAUCAAGAUGACAAGAAAAGCACAUAUGGCUACCUAUUUAUGCUUGGAUCAUCACCAGUUUCUUGGAUUUCAAAGAAGUAAACGAUUGUUGCUUUGUCCUCAUAUGAAGUAGAGUAUGUUGCAGCCUCUUAUGCAGCACGUCAAGCACUUUGGUUAGACAUGUUGCUUGAAGAAUUGAACAUUGGUGACUAUUGCCAAAUCAAGUUGAUUGUAAACAGUCAAUCAACCAUAGAUCUAGCAAAUCAUCCAAUGAGUUAGGGUAGAAAUAAGGAUAUAGAAAGUAGGUAUCACUUUAUUAGAUAUCAAGUUAGCAAAGCAAGGUUAACUAUUAAUCAUUGCAAAAUAGAGUUACAAUUAGCCGAUAUCUUGAUAAAACCCCUCAAGCAAGCAAGGUUUGAAGAAGUUAAUGGGAAUGAGAAGUAUGGAAAAAUCUGAAUUAGGAAAGGUAUUGUGGUUAAUUCAAUUUGCUUUAAGUUAAGUUUGUUAAGUGGUUAGUUAGGUGGUUACUAAGUUGGUUAAUCAUUGAUAUCUUAUAUAUAAGAUAUAAAACCAUAUAUAAGAUAAUAAAUGGUUACUUAGUUAGGUGGUUACUGAUUCUUAUCCAUUUUUUGUAUCAUUUUAAUGAUAAUAAAUGGAUAAGAAUCAGAGCGCAUUGCUCUGUUCUAAAUAGUUUUUUCCUUUUCUUUUUCAAGAUGAAUUCAGCUGAUCAUAAACUUGAUAGUUCUUAGUGGAGGAUAUCUGAAGAGUUUGGAAUGAAUCCAGAGAAGUUGCACUACCAAAGUGACUGCCAUGUGUAUUAUUUAUGCCACAUGUAUUAUUUACAAAAGUAAGAAAUCAUCCCUAACCACCCAACUAGCAAAACUAAACCAUCAUAAAAAAUCAAUAACAACACCUAAUAUACAAAAAUACGAAACAAAAAAAAAUCAUAAUCACCCACCCAUAAGCCUGAUAAUAAAUCCAGCAAAGCAAAGAAUGUCGCGGUAUCACGAUUAUCUUGAAUCCGUUCACAAAUAAUUGCAAAUCAACAUUUGUAACCAUUUCUUGUUUCCCGUUCCUCAAAUUGCUCUCCUCCUUCUUUUCCUUUUCUCAUCAUCAUCAUCAUCCUCCCCAUCCUUCUUUUCAACGUCAAUUAAAGAAUCUUCAACCCUUAACUCCAAACCCUAACUCCAUUAUCAACAACAAGACUAGAGAAUUCAGAAUCCAGAGCGAAUGGUCUGAAAGCAACAAUGCUACUGUUAAUGGGAACUUUAGAGUUUAAGUCGAAGAGAGUACGACCGUUAUCAUCAUUAUUGAAGAAAAAGUUGUCGUCUAGGGUUUCAAGAGAUGGAAAAAAGGAUGGUGGCAGUGGAGGAUAACAGGGAAUUGUUGAUAUUGAAGGGAACGUUGACGGUGAUGAUGAUUAACGUUGUCGGCGAGGUCAAUUCCGAAAAGGAGAGCUUUAAUGACGGGAUCGCGGUCAACGAAAGUGAUGAAUUCCGAGAAAUUAUACACAGAAAAUAGGAAGGAAAAAAUGGAGCUUCUAGGUGGCUUGUCCCUCGGAAAGAUUGAUACGUCAAACAUUUCACCUCUUCAACAGGAAGUUCUCAUAAUCUGGGGUGAAGAUGACAAAAUAUUUC